GUAGAAUGGUCAUGUGGUAGCUUAUGUUUCAUGAUAGCUGAAGAUUCAUGAGAGGAACUACCCUACUCAUGAUUUAUAGUUGGAAGCUGCGGUAUUUGUGCUAAAGAUAUACAGAGACUACCUUACACUUCUAAAUUCAAAGUAUUGAAUGAUCAUAAGAGUUUGAGAUAUUUGUUUAAUCAGAAGGAGUUGAAUCUGAGACAGAGGAAAUGGUUAGAGUUUU
rnacentral:lncRNA from 1 species